rnacentral:misc_RNA from 1 species
CAAGACAGCUUUUUCCAAAAGAAUCAAUUAACUGAUGUUGAAACCUCUGUGGGCAAUUCAAAGGAAGCAUCAAGUCCCAUUUCUAUUCCUAACCUUCAUAGGACUGCUGGUGCGGAAGUUGGGCGAUUGGCAGAAUCAUUACCUAAUAUGUGGACUUGCAGUGAUGAUAUGGGUACAGAGGAUCUCCAUCAUCCUUUAAGCCGUACUCAGAUUCCAAACCCUUGCAGUGGAAAUUACAUAGCAAAGAUGAGUCAUGCUGUAUAAAUUCAGUUAGAGACAAGGAAAACCAAUCAUCACCCGAG